rnacentral:rRNA from 1 species
AACGUAGGGGACGAGCGUUAUCCGGAUUUACUGGGCGUAAAGCGCGUGUAGGCGGCUUGGCAAGUCCGCUGUGAAAACUCGAGGCUCAACCUCGAGAUGUCGGUGGAAACUGCCUGGCUAGAGUCCGGAAGAGGAGUGUGGAAUUCCUGGUGUAGCGGUGAAAUGCGCAGAUAUCAGGAAGAACACCUAUGGCGAAGGCAGCACUCUGGGACGGUACUGACGCUGAGACGCGAAAGCGUGGGGAGCGAACAGG